CAGUAGCCGCGGGAAUACGUAGGUGGCAAGCGUUGUCCGGAAUUAUUGGGCGUAAAGCGCGCGCAGGUGGUUUAAUAAGUCUGAUGUGAAAGCCCACGGCUCAACCUGGGAAUGGCAAUGGAAACUGGACGGCUAGAGUGUGUCAGAGGAUGGUGGAAUUCCCGGUGUAGCGGUGAAAUGCGUAGAGAUCUGGAGGAAUACCGGUGGCGAAGGCGGCCCCCUGGACAAAGACUGACGCUCAGGUGCGAAAGCGUGGGGAGCAAACAGGAUUAGAGACCCCUGUAGUCCCUGUCUCUUAUAC
rnacentral:rRNA from 1 species